UAGUUUAUAAAGAAAAGAGGUUUAAUUGACUCACGUUCCAGAGGCUGUACAGGAGUCAUGGCUGGGGAGGCCUCAGGGAACUUACAAUCAUGGCAGAGAGCAAAGGGGAAGCAAGCUCCAUCCUCAUAUGCCCAGAAGAAAGAGAGGAGGG